rnacentral:lncRNA from 1 species
UCAGAGUCAAAAGGCUACUAUGAGGAGACAGUAACUGAUUCAUCUGGGGGUUAUCGUCUGCGAGGACUGGUUCCUGACGCAUUGUAUUCAAUCAAAGUUGUGAAGAAGGAUGGCUUGGGUAGUGCUAAAAUUGAGCGAGCAUCUCCUGAAUCUGUUCCUGUAAAGGUUGGUUCUAUUUGCUGGAGCUUUUUCCCCCUUUUUUGGGUUUUUGUCUUAAUUCUUAAAUGUGUUUAAGCUCUUUUAAGACCUUAAAUGUUAUUUUGUAUGAAGCUUUUGUUGUAUCAAUGUUUGAAUUUGACAUCAUCACAAUUGUAGUUGGAACUGAAGUUAUAUAAUUCAUGAUCAACUGGGUGAAGCUUCUUCAAAAUCGAAAUCUCAUUUUUUUCAGAAAAUCAUUUCCAUCGACAAUACUAGGGCUACUAAGUUUUAAACUUCUGAUGUGUAUGUGAUUGAUUAAUCACUUUCCAGGUUGGGAAUAACGAUAUCAAGGGACUGGAAUUUUUGGUCUUUGAAGAACCAGAGGUGACUAUCUUAAGUGGCCAUGUUGAAGCGAAUAGGACUGGGGAAUUACAUUCUCAUUUAUUGGUAGAAAUCAAGUCAGCUGGUGACACGUCUAAAGUAGAGUCUGUCUUCCAACUGCCAUUAUCCAACUUCUUCCAGGUAAAGGACUUGCCAAGGGGAAAACAUACCGUUCAGCUCAAAUCCAAUCUCCCUUCUAGCACUCAUAAAUUCGAGUCGGAGGUUAUUGAGGUUGACCUAGAGAAGAAUGCUCAAGUUCAUGUCGGUCCCCUGAAAUAUAGUGUGGAGGAGUAUCAUCACAAACAGGUUUGUUUAAUUUUGUUAAAAUCAUGCAUGUGUUCCCUUUUUUCCAAAUGAUUAUGCAACUGUGUAUAACAAAAGAGUGGUCCUACUAAAACUACAAUGAUGUUUGAUUAUAUAUGUACUUACUGUUUACCAUCGAACUUUCCUUUUUUUGCUUGUCUUGCUUACCAAUAGGAAUUAACUCCGGCACCGGUAUUCCCUCUUAUUGUUGGAGUUUCAGUGAUCAUUCUCUUUCUCAGCAUUCCAAGGUAACUUGAAUAUCCUUUGACCCCCCCUUCUUUCCCUCAUAUGCCUUAAAAGAUUUUAUAUUUAUGUGGAUAAUUUCUGAUAAUGUUCUCCUGUGUUUUAUACUUUUUCUUAAAAAGACUAAAGGACAUUUACCAAGCCGCCACGGGAAUACCAACACCUGGUUUUAUGACAACUGCAAAAAAAGAACCACGGAAGCCAGUUGUGAGAAAGAAGACUUUUUGAAGAACCCUUUUCCACCAAAGGGAUGCGACUUUGGGGCUCAGAAAGAGUGUUAAAAAGUUUAUAUUUCAUUCAUUCCCCCGCAACCCCCCCACCCCCCCCCCCCAAAAAAAAAAAAAACCCGAGAGUUUUAGUAGAUGAUAAAACUAAUUUGGAUGAUAGCAGUAACAUCUUGGAGAACGUCACUUUGAUGAGUUCAUUCAUAGGCUUUAUUAGCUUUGUAGGAUUGAACCUGACUGUAUCAUUGUAGAAGCAAAUGAACAUAGAUGUCAAUGAACUAAGUAGCCCAACUCAGCAGUCUUUUGGGUUGAAAUAUUUUUGAGCUUGGCUCAUUUGGGUUCGAGGGUUGAUUUCUUUCGAGUUGGGUCAUUAUAGAUUUAUCUUAUUUCAAAGUCAUCUGUUUGGAUUAGGGUUUUGAUCAACUUUGGUACCAUAGUUAAUGAUGAAAUCAAAUUGGGUUGAGUUUAAAUUUUGGUGGAACAGGUUUAGGGAAGGAAGGGAAAGUAGAAAUGCCACAGGCAUCCGUACCAGCAAAAUUAUAUAAUAUGAUAUGGAAGUUAAUUCAGUUAUAUUUUAAGCAGCUACCAGCUGUAAAAGGAAAUAUCUUUUGAUUUUAGUUUCAGGCUUGGGAAUGAAAUGGAACUCAUGAGACAUGAAAUUGUAAGACAGUAUAGAAACUGAAGUUUCCGGAUAAUUAAUGAUGCGUACAUGCUUGUAUUGUUAGCAAGGAAAUAACUUGUUGCCAGGCAUAAUUAAAAUGAAAGCAAAUAUAUUAUCAAGAACUAAUGAUGAUGUAUUAACUAGCUCUACUACAAUUAAAUUUUCCUUGAAAACCUCAUUCAGUCUUCACCCUGAAAUCAGAUCAUAUCGAGAACUGAGUAGUAUUGAAAAAAAAAAA